rnacentral:rRNA from 1 species
GAUUUUCGCAAUGCCCGAAAGGGUGACGAAGCGACGCCGCGUGCGGGAAGAAGGCCUUCGGGUUGUAAACCGCUGUCGGGAGUUAAGAAAUGUAAGGAUGUUAAUAGCAUCUUUGCUUGACUAAGGCUCCGGAGGAAGCCACGGCUAACUCUGUGCCAGCAGCCGCGGUAAUACAGAGGCGGCAAGCGUUGUUCGGAAUUAUUGGGCGUAAAGAGCACGUAGGCGGCUAUGUAAGUCGGUUGUGAAAGCCUUCCGCUCAACGGGAGAACAGCAUCCGAUACUGCAUGGCUUGAGUGCGGGAGGGGAAAGUGGAACUUCUGGUGGAGCGGUGAAAUGCGUAGAUAUCAGAAGGAACGCCGGCGGCGAAAGCGGCUCUCUGGCCCAUAACUGACGCUGAGUGUGCGAAAGCUAGGGGAGCAAACGGGAUUAGAUACCCCGGUAGUCCUAGCCGUAAACGAUGGGCACUAAGUAGAGGGGUUUUAAUC